rnacentral:rRNA from 1 species
UACGUAGGGACCAAGCGUUGUUCGGAUUUACUGGGCGUAAAGGGCGCGUAGGCGGCAUGACAAGUCACUUGUGAAAUCUCUGGGCUUAACCCAGAACGGCCAAGUGAUACUGUCGCGCUAGAGUGCAGAAGGGGCAAUCGGAAUUCUCGGUGUAGCGGUGAAAUGCGUAGAUAUCGAGAGGAACACCAGAGGUGAAGACGGGUUGCUGGGCUGACACUGACGCUGAGGCGCGAAAGCCAGGGGAGCAAACAGG